rnacentral:rRNA from 1 species
CCUACGGGCGGCAGCAGUGGGGAAUAUUGCUCAAUGGGCGAAAGCCUGACGCAGCGACGCCGCGUGAAGGAUGAAGGUCUUCGGAUUUGAAACCUCUUUCAGCACGGAAGAAAAGUCACUGUGCUAAUCAGCAGUGAAUUUACGGUACCUGCAAAGGAAGCACCGUCUAACUCCGUGCCAGCGGCCGCGGUAAUACGUAUGGUGCGAGCGUUAAUCGGAAUUGCUGGGCGUAAAGCGAUCGUAGGCGGUAUGUCAAGUCAAGGGUGAAAUGCCCGGGCUCCACGUUGGCACUGCCUUUUAAACUGGCAAACUUGAGUCCGUGAAAAGAAAGUGGAAUUCGAGGUGUAGGAGUGAAAUCCGUAGAUAUGUGGAGGAACAUCAGUGGCGAAGGCGACUAUCUGGAACAUAACUGACGCUGAGGAGCGAAAGCGUGGGUAGCAAACAGGAUUAGAUACCCGAGUAGUC